GGUCAUCUGAGCUUCACAGAGAUCCUGGACAUAUCUCAAGGUCAGCUGGCAGGACCCCCUGGAGAAUAAAUGGCAUCAUUACAGGUUUUCUGGGAGGUGUGUGGGAAGAACGCCUCACGUCUCAUGCACACUCUGAACAGCAGCACACAUGAAGACAAGAUCCAAGGACCGUUGUCUCCGACAACCUACACUAUCGACCUAGCAGCUGUCACCGCUGUGGGGGCCAGCCUGACCACCUCAUCCACCGUUUCCUCUAGAGUGCCCCAGACCUCCCCAGGGCUCCAUCCAGUUUAGUCAUUUCCAGCAUCAAUCCUCGCUCAGCCACUCUUCAGUUCCGACCAUGCUACGAUGGGAAGACAUCCAUCUGCAGUGGAUUGUGGAGGGGGCAGGUGAAGUAACACAGAAAGAAAAUGACAGAGAAGGAGAGUGUGAGAGAGAGGACUAAAUGCCCAGAAGCUGGGAUUGAGCCAAGCUGAAGUGAAAAGCCAGGAACUCCAUCUGAGUAUCCAAUGUGAGUAUCAGAGACCAAAGUACUUGAGUCCUCAUCUUCCACCUAACAGGGUGUGCAUUAGUAAGAAGCUGGGUAGGAAGCAAAGUAGGACUUGGUCUAAAAGCACGCCAAAUAGAAUGCGAGGGGCCCAAGCAGUGGUUUAACCUAUGCGCCCUGAUAUUUUAUUCAUUUAAAAUACUAUAUGCUUACAUAUAAAUAUAUGUA